rnacentral:rRNA from 1 species
AACGAACGCUGGCGGCAUGCCUAACACAUGCAAGUCGAACGAGACCUUCGGGUCUAGUGGCGCACGGGUGCGUAACGCGUGGGAACCUGCCCUUAGGUUCGGAAUAACUCCCCGAAAGGGGUGCUAAUACCGGAUAAUGUCUUCGGACCAAAGAUUUAUCGCCUUUGGAUGGGCCCGCGUUGGAUUAGCUAGUUGGUAGGGUAAAAGCCUACCAAGGCGACGAUCCAUAGCUGGACUGAGAGGAUGAUCAGCCACACUGGGACUGAGACACGGCCCAGACUCCUACGGGAGGCAGCAGUGGGGAAUAUUGGACAAUGGGCGAAAGCCUGAUCCAGCAAUGCCGCGUGAGUGAUGAAGGCCUUAGGGUUGUAAAGCUCUUUUACCCGGGAUGAUAAUGACAGUACCGGGAGAAUAAGCUCCGGCUAACCCCGUG